CAGUCGCCACGGGAAUACGUAGGUGGCAAGCGUUGUCCGGAAUUAUUGGGCGUAAAGGGCUCGCAGGCGGUUUCUUAAGUCUGAUGUGAAAGCCCCCGGCUCAACCGGGGAGGGUCAUUGGAAACUGGGAAACUUGAGUGCAGAAGAGGAGAGUGGAAUUCCACGUGUAGCGGUGAAAUGCGUAGAGAUGUGGAGGAACACCAGUGGCGAAGGCGGCUCACUGGCUCAUUCUAGACGCUGAGGUGCGAAAGCGUGGGGAGCAAACAGGAUUAGAUACCCCUGUAGUCCCUGUCUCUUAUAC
rnacentral:rRNA from 1 species